CCAGGAUGUUAGAACUUCCGUAAAUAGAAUUUGUUUUCCGUUUCCUCUAAAUGUCAACUUUUACCCUCAAAUUGUAGUCCUUGACAUUUAUUCACAAGUAAGGAGAGAAAGAAAAAGGUUCUAAGUCUGAAAGAAGGCUAUUUGCCUACUCAGAAACAAGAGACAAGAAUGGGAGCACAAGAUUCAUUUUUAAAUUUUAAACAUCGAAAUGGAAAGAAAAAAUGGAGUUUUAUGGUAUCUGGAUGGCCAGCAUUCCUAACAAUAACAAUAAUUGUGAUUGUUCUUUGUGUGUGAAGAAAAAAAGAAAAAGAGUAUGCAUUAUGAAUAACAAAGUCAGCAUCACAGCAAAGGAAAGACCCAGGGGGGAAAAAUGUGUGGAGUAUUAGAGUGGGUGCUCUUUGUUGUGGGAAUGUUUAAUUUCUGCUUAUUAACUUACCCAAUAAACUAAUGCACACACCUAAUUCUCA